AAACCCCUCUCUUGUUCCCUCGCUCUCCCUCUCCCUCUCCCUCCCCUUUCAAUCUCUAUGGAGUGACGCCAGUGGUGCAUCUAUUUGACCAGUGAUGUGUCUAUUUGACCAGUGGUUGUUCUGUCUUGUAUUGAGGGAAGCCCAGCUACUCGUGCUGGCAUACAUGAAGGAGAUGAGCUGAUUGAGAUUGAUGGGCAGACGCUUGAUGGUCUUGAUGUUGAGGCUGUAGCACAGAAGCUUCGAGGGUUGUGUUGAGACAACAUUUAUAAUAGAACUUCACAAUGUAAUGAGCCUUUCUUUUUCGUCAUUUUAUGAUAACAUGGUGUUCACCAAUAGUUGCUCCCAUUAAGGUUGCAUAAUUUAGCGUUAUCCAUCGCUAAUAUUUAUUAUUUUUACUUUUCCAAGUUCUACAUCGCUUUAAAUUGAAGCAUGCCUUGUUACUGGUUAACUUCUAUUCUGUUUUCUGAUAUAUCAAUGUUCUCUACCAAGGUAUUCCGUAAUGGUAACGGUGGCUAUAACGGCUACCACCGUUACCUUUACGAUACGGGUCACAACCGCUGUUACAUCUCCCAUAACGGCCGUUACAUUCUAUUUUUUUCAUUGAAAGAAAAUCAGUGGAUCCCUGAGUGUGGGUCCCACUGUAAUGUAGGUGCCUUAAAUCUAUGCUACCCAUACGUUUGGACAUAUCAUUUUAGAGUAUGAUCUAAAAAU